GGCCUCGUGGCCUAAUGGCAUGGCGUCAGAUUUCGGUUCAUCGUUCAAAUAAAAAAAAGGGCGAGAACUUUAUUCUCUGAAGAUUGUCGGUUCGAAUCCGGCCGAGGUCG